rnacentral:rRNA from 1 species
AGAGUUUGAUCCUGGCUCAGGAUGAACGCUGGCGGCAUGCCUAAUACAUGCAAGUCGAACGGACGGAAGAGAAAAGCUUGCUUUUUUUGGAAGUCAGUGGCGAACGGGUGAGUAACACGUAGGUAACCUGCCCAUGUGCCCGGGAUAAUUUCUGGAAACGGAAACUAAAACCGGAUAGGUAGGGAUCUCGCAUGAGGACCUUAUUAAAGGGGCUACGGCCCUGAACAUGGAUGGACCUGCGGUGCAUUAGCUAGUUGGUGGGGCAACGGCCUACCAAGGCGACGAUGCAUAGCCGACCUGAGAGGGCGAACGGCCACAUUGGGACUGAGACACGGCCCAAACUCCUACGGGAGGCAGCAGUAGGGAAUUUUCGUCAAUGGGGGGAACCCUGAACGAGCAAUGCCGCGUGAGUGAAGACGGUUUUCGGACUGUAAAGCUCUGUUGUAAGAGAAAAACGGCCGACAUAGGGAAUGAUGUCGGAGUGAUGGUAUCUUACCAGAAAGUCACGGCUAACUACGUGCCAGCAGCCGCGGU